UUGUUGUUGCUGCUGCUGCUGCUGAAGCUGCUGUGCAUUAGUAGACUCUGUAACUGAGGGUUUUCCAGCUACACCUUGACCCACAUUGUUGGGAACUUGCGAAAACUGAGAUUUAUCUGUGUGUUGCUGAAAACCAGCACCCCUUUGUUGAAAAAAUUUGUUUGAGGAUCCAUAAUUGUAAGAAUUUAAUUGCUGGAUCUUCUGAAGGACUUCUUCCACAGGUGGUGGAGGUCCAGGCAAUUUUGCAUGCCUAUACCGACAGUCAGGACCAUUUGGACAAAACCCUAACUUGUACAUAUUGCACUCCUUAAUAUCCUCAUUGGUGUGCUUGUACACGCAGUCCUGCUCCCGGCACUCUCCGUAAAGCCUAAAAAAGCGGCAAACAGGCAUUCGCGACUUGUCGUAUUGGUGUAGAAAGCCGCAGGCGUCGCCCUUCAUGCAAAGGCUGCGGAGCCAAUGCCGACAGACGGUCUGCCGGAAGCUCCGCCGCCCAGGAAGGUUGGCGCCAGGUGCCGAUGGAUCCGUAGCAGAUACAGCGGCGACGGCAGAGUUGUUGUUAGCGGCGGCAGCAGACACGGCGGAAUUGUCAGAGGGGAUGGCGGACAUGGAGGCGGUAGGGUUGGUGAGGCCAGAGUCAAGGCCCCCCUCGAAGUCGAAGCUGAGACCACCGUCUGUGUCCUCCAUUGGUAGACAAAAGGGCGUACGUGCCUAGGUUCGGAUUAGGGUUUUCUGUAUGGAGAUCAUUCACAAUGUAAAUUUUGAUAUCGGUAAGAGAAAACUGGAGAAACCUCGCUAGGUCGCUGCCUGGGUUUUGGUUUUGGACAAGCCGACUAAAUUGGGCUUGUUCGAAU
rnacentral:misc_RNA from 1 species